CAGAACUCGAAGUCCCAGCAUCCCUAAAGAAAUAAAAAAAAAGUCAUCUUUCUCCUGAUUUUCAUUGCUGAUUCAAGUUGCAGUAAAACAAGUUAUGGGGCAAAGAAAUGACAAAAAUGAAAGCCUGAAUAGCGUUUCAUGUGUUUGUACAAAGUCAACAACGGAAGCGGCAAAUCUGAAACCUUCACAACCACCUACAGAAACUUUGAAAACCGCACACAAUGAGAACUCGCCACAGUUACAAAUGGGAAAAAAACAAGUGGAGGAUAUGCGUUUUAUGAUUUCAUGUACUAAUUGGUACUGAGCAAUAAAUGUGUUUAACAUAGCCACAGAUUGAGUAUUAAAUUAUAUAUUCUUUAAAACUGUA